GCCUCAAGAUAGUCACUUGUUUUUCUCAUGGCGCUCAAUUUUUCUUCCUCAUAGUUCCGACUCUCUUUUGCCCCGUCGCUUUGUCGUCUUCUCCAAAACUCUGCUUCACCAUGCUCUGACAAUAUCGCAUUUCCCAAAUCCAGCAAGCCGAGCCAUUGUCGCAGUCAAGAUCAAGUUUUUCACUCAAGGAACGACGACCCACUAGCAGCAAAGCUUCCAUGUCCCGCGUAUCUUCCAAUCCGCUCGCUCUCCAUCGGUGUUGGCCCUACUUUCGAGCAGCUCCUCAAUCCUCGUCGCUCGUCGCGACUCCAUCCGCCGUGCGAUUUCGCCCCAGGAAUCGCGGGCUUCGGAUCGUCGCGUGUGAGGCGAAUCCUAAUCCUACCGAAAGUUCCACGCCGGAAAAGUUGUUUCUUGAGCCUUCUUCAGAGGAUGACAGUACUACUGACCAAUCUACAAGUCCCUCUCCAAACGUUGGGCUUCCGGAUUUACCCAAUAGAACUUUUAAUAGGCAAAUAGCUGUAGUUUCUGCUCUAGCUGCGGUUGGACUUUUCUUGUCUGGGCGGUUAGAUUUUGGCGUUUCUUUGAAAGACCUCACCGCUGCUGCAUUGCCUUAUGAAGAGGCUCUCGCCAAUGGGAGGCCCACCGUGGUGGAGUUCUAUGCUGAUUGGUGCGAAGUUUGUCGAGAAUUAGCUCCCGAUAUCUACAAAGUCGAGCAGCAGUACAAGGACAGGGUUAAUUUCGUUAUGCUAAACGUUGACAACACUAAAUGGGAACAAGAGCUCGAUGAGUUCGGAGUUGAGGGUAUCCCACACUUUGCAUUUCUUGAUAGGGAGGGAAAUGAGGAGGGCAAUGUGGUGGGCAGGCUUCCCAGGAACUACUUGCUUGAGAAUGUGGAUGCCCUAGCCCGCGGUGAAGCAUCCAUACCUCAUGCUCGUGUUGUCGGACAAUAUUCCAGUGCUGAAGCUAGAAAGAUACAUCAGGUUGUUGAUCCGAGGAGUCAUGGAUAGGAUUUAGAUUCAUUUGGUUGAGCAGCAAUGAGUCAAGUUGUCAUUAUCUUGUUUAUAGAAGGGAGAUCCUACAAGAGUGCUACAAAGGUGAGUUUGUGCGGGAUGAACGAAGCCAGGGGUGGCUGUAGGGAUUGUUUCUUUGCUUUAACGUUACUUGAACUUGCAUUCAUAUUCAUCUAACCUUUUAAGAUUUUAAAAUGUUCAUUCGUCAAGAAAAAUAGAUGACUACCGAUAUUUAUGUGUACAAGAUCUUUCCAGCUUUCUGUAUAUGUUUGCAAUGAAAACAGCGAACUGAUUACAGG